GAUGAACGCUGGCGGCGUGCUUAACACAUGCAAGUCGAACGGUGAAGGGACCGGUUUUUGCUGGUUCUGGAUGAGUGGCGAACGGGUGAGUAACACGUGAGUAACCUGCCCCCUUCUUCUGGAUAACCGCAUGAAAGUGUGGCUAAUACGGGAUAUUCUGCGCCUGCUGCAUGGUGGGUGUGGGAAAGAUAUUGUUUCGGUGGGGGAUGGGCUCGCGGCCUAUCAGCGUGGUGGUGGGGUGAUGGCCUACCAAGGCGGUGACGGGUAGCCGGCCUGAGAGGGUGGACGGUCACACUGGGACUGAGACACGGCCCAGACUCCUACGGGAGGCAGCAGGGGGGAAUAUUGCACAAUGGGCGCAAGCCUGAUGCAGCGACGCCGCGUGAGGGAUGGAGGCCUUCGGGUUGUAAACCUCUUUCGCCAGUGAAGCAGGCCUGUCCCUUGUGUGGGUGGGUUGACGGUAGCUGGAGAAGAAGCGCCGGCUAACUACGUG
rnacentral:rRNA from 1 species